ensembl:lncRNA
CUCACCUACUUUAAAUCACAUUUGACAUACUUUGCCCAUGCUUAGUAUCUUUUUUGUAUCCUUUUCAAUCCAACUGAUCCCUGUCUUGUUUCUACCAUCCUCUAGGCCUCGUGUUCUUUCCUUGCACAAGAGGUUGGUACGGAAGUGGAAUUCUGCUCAAAGGUAUUGUGAAAUUAUGUUAAGUGGAACUGUGAAAUUAUGUAGGUGUCGAUAAUGAAAAUAUUAGAUUAGUCUGGUCGUUUAUACUAAAUGUCGGAUCUGAUUUAUUUUUAAUUGUAUGGACACAUUUUCCCCUGCUUAGUAGACCCUUUAUAAUUAAACUUGUCUCCAUCCUAUUUCUCCCAUCUCUUCCCCUCUAGGCCAAUUUAAAGGCAAUGCUACCAAAUACUAAUUGAGUGUACGUAAACUUCUGACCCACUGGGAAUGUGAUGAAGGAAGUAAAAGCUGAAAUAUAUCAUUCUCUUAACUAUUAUUCUGACAUUUCACAUUCUUAAAAUAAAAUGGUGAUCCUAGCUGACCGAAAACAGUUUUUUUUAUUACUAGGAUUAAAUGUCAGGAAUUGUGAAACUGAGUUUAAAUAUAUUUGGCUAAGGUGUAUGUAAACUUCUGACUUCAACUGUACAUAUCAUAGAAAUACUUGGAGAUAGCACUACGGGACCAUGGAUUGUGCUGUUGUGAGCUUAUUGGUCAUGCUCCUGGCUGGGGUGUGGCAUAGUGUUUCUCCUUCUGAAGCCACAUUGGUUGAGUGUGGCACUGGGAAGACUUGUACUGUGGCCUUACUCAGCCUUAACCCUGCCACUCUGGUCUGCCCUGGUUCCUCCCUACACCCUUUGAUCAAGUGGACCAUCCAGGGAAUCUUGGACACAGGCUACAGCUCAUCUCCAAUAGUGAUCCAGACCAGUAGAGCCCCCACCAGUCUGCUGAAGGCUGACACCACCAACUGUGAAAGAGUGAAUCUCCCCUAGUGUUACCUUCUGUGGACUUGGAGUACUCCGAAACCAACAGGCAAAGGUUUGGCUUGGGUCUGCAGAGAGCUCCAAGCAGGCAAAGAAGGAAUAUCAAUCUAUGGAGAGCUCUGUAACUAUACUCCAAUAUCCAAUACAGAGCUCUGGUCAGGAUAGAACCAGGGGGUGUACAGGUUUUUCAAUCAUCCCUUAUGGUGGCCAGCCAGACUCGCCCUCAGGCUCCUGCCUCCGCCGCCUUUGAGACACAGGACUUACCUCGCAUCUAAACUCAGCAUGCUCGCCAGUGAACCUCCUGCCUCUUUCUGCCCAUGUGCAACCCUUAACCUCUGACCACAUCAGACCAGCGACCCUCUGGCACAGUUUUCGACUGAUAAUGACCUCCAGUCACGCCUCAGAGGUGGAGAGCAUAACCUUGUCUUCACUGACACCUGGGUCUGGACUCUAUACCUGCCAGGUGCGGGAUGUGACCCUGGCUCAGUUUGAGGUGCAGGAUGUUUAGUGAAGUGCAGAUAUCACACGCAUCCCACCAUGGGCAAUUGCCCAGGGAAAACUUAAGUGAGGCUGGGGGAGGUGUUCACAGUAUGGGGUGCGUGGCAGGGUUGAAAUUGCUGUGGGAAACAGAGAGAGGAAGAGGAUUGGGUGAGUGUAGUUACAUUGGAGACAUAUCCUUACUUAUAUUUAAGCAACAUUUUCACACUGUGUCCCAUUGCCUGCCAUCAAUGCAUAACAAAGUGAAAGUUUGACCUGUGUGAGUAGAUUUGCCUCAGAGGCAAGAGCAGCAAACUACUACAGGUUUAAGUUUUUCUAUCUGUAACAGUGAGAGGUGUGGUGUCAUUACAGCCACUAGAAGUGCUGUUUCAUAACUUCCUUUGUUCUACUUAGGUUGUGCUAUGCACAGGUCCUCAAUGUGAGCACAGGAGAGGGGAUCCCGGGUGCGGCCCUUGGGUCUGGGGUGGUUCAGAGAUUACUAGAGAAAUUACAAGGUUUCUCCAUUGUCCUGGGCCAAGAGGUCAUCAUAGAAACAUGUUGCCAGGACUGUCCGACCUCUUGUCUGCAUGACUAGGAUGACAUUCCACUCCGCGGAUCCUCCAUCGGUCACUCCUGAAGCCUGUUGACAUCACAGCCUCCUUGGAUACUGUGCUACUGUGUCCCUCUGUCUCUGUGUACAGCCCUGUAUACUGGGAAUGAGAUGCACUGCCUCUAACCCAGCUGGACCUUCUCCAGAAGAACAGCUCCCACUCUCUGGAUCUCUCACGGGAGAAACGGCUACCUCAUCCACCAGGCCUCUCUGUCUGACUCGAGUCUACCGCUGUUUCCAGGGGGGGUGGCUGAGAGGGGGUUACCUCCUGCAGG